rnacentral:rRNA from 1 species
UGCCAGCCGCCGCUGUACUACUAAUGGACCUAGCGUAGUUCGGAAUUACUGGGCUUAAAGAGCUCGUAGGUGGUUAAAAAAGUUGAUGGUGAAAUCCCAAGGCUCAACCUUGGAACUGCCAUCAAAACUUUUUAGCUAGAGUGUGAUAGAGGUAAGUGGAAUUUCUAGUGUAGAGGUGAAAUUCGUAGAUAUUAGAAAGAACACCAAAUGCGAAGGCAACUUACUGGGUCACUACUGACACUGAGGAGCGAAAGCAUGGGUAGCGAAGAGGAUUAGAUA